rnacentral:rRNA from 1 species
GUGUCAGCAGCCGCGGUAAUACGGGAGGGGCAAGCGUUAUCUAAAAUAACUGGGCGUAAAGGGUCCGUAGACUGUAAAGUAAGUUACUAGUUAAAUUUUAAAACCUAAUUUUAAGUCAGCUUGUAAUACUGCUUUACUUGAGUUUUAUACAGAAAAGUAGAAUUUUAUACGAAAGGUUAAAAUCUUGAGAUAUAUAAAGGAAUAUCAUUAGCGAAGGCGACUUUUUGGUAAAAACUGACGUUGAGGGACGAAAGUGUGGGUAGCAAACAGGAUUAGAUACCCUGGUAGUCC